rnacentral:rRNA from 1 species
UAGGAAUCUGCCUGGUAGUGGGGGNNAACGUUUCGAAAGGAACGCUAAUACCGCAUACGUCCUACGGGAGAAAGCAGGGGACCUUCGGGCCUUGCGCUAUCAGAUGAGCCUAGGUCGGAUUAGCUAGUUGGUGGGGUAAAGGCCUACCAAGGCGACGAUCCGUAACUGGUCUGAGAGGAUGAUCAGUCACACUGGAACUGAGACACGGUCCAGACUCCUACGGGAGGCAGCAGUGGGGAAUAUUGGACAAUGGGCGAAAGCCUGAUCCAGCCAUGCCGCGUGUGUGAAGAAGGUCUUCGGAUUGUAAAGCACUUUAAGUUGGGAGGAAGGGCAGUAAGUUAAUACCUUGCUGUUUUGACGUUACCAACAGAAUAAGCACCGGCUAACUUCGUGCCAGCAGCCGCGGUAAUACGAAGGGUGCAAGCGUUAAUCGGAAUUACUGGGCGUAAAGCGCGCGUAGGUGGUUUGGUAAGAUGGAUGUGAAAUCCCCGGGCUCAACCUGGGAACUGCAUCCAUAACUGCCUGACUAGAGUACGGUAGAGGGUGGUGGAAUUUCCUGUGUAGCGGUGAAAUGCGUAGAUAUAGGAAGGAACACCAGUGGCGAAGGCGACCACCUGGACUGAUACUGACACUGANGUGCGAAAGCGUGGGGAGCAAACAGGAUUAGAUACCCUGGUAGUCCACGCCGUAAACGAUGUCGACUAGCCGUUGGAAUCCUUGAGAUUUUAGUGGCGCAGCUAA